UGCCUCAUAGAGGGGAAUAGCCUUUCGAAAGGAAGAUUAAUACCGCAUAUGGUAGCUUUAUCGCAUGGUAGUGCUAUUAAAGGAGUAAUCCGCUAUGAGAUGGACCCGCGUCGCAUUAGCUAGUUGGUGAGGUAACGGCUCACCAAGGCGACGAUGCGUAGCCGACCUGAGAGGGUGAUCGGCCACAUUGGGACUGAGACACGGCCCAGACUCCUACGGGAGGCAGCAGUGGGGAAUAUUGCACAAUGGGGGAAACCCUGAUGCAGCAACGCCGCGUGAGUGAUGACGGCCUUCGGGUUGUAAAACUCUGUCUUUGGGGACGAUAAUGACGGUACCCAAGGAGGAAGCCACGGCUAACUACGUGCCAGCAGCCGCGGUAAUACGUAGGUGGCAAGCGUUGUCCGGAUUUACUGGGCGUAAAGGGAGCGUAGGUGGAUAUUUAAGUGGGAUGUGAAAUACUCGGGCUUAACCUGGGUGCUGCAUUCCAAACUGGAUAUCUAGAGUGCAGGAGAGGAAAGGAGAAUUCCUAGUGUAGCGGUGAAAUGCGUAGAGAUUAGGAAGAAUACCAGUGGCGAAGGCGCCUUUCUGGACUGUAACUGA
rnacentral:rRNA from 1 species